AUUGUCUGUAUUUUUUUAAAAAUUGUGGAUUUAAAUUUCUGCCUCACUUUUAGAGUUGAGAGUCAUAAAAUUAACAUAAGUCAUAAUCAUUUUAACCAAAUCAAAUCCUCAUGAGGGUAUCAUGUCCUAAUCAGGAAAGAAUAAAGAUUAUAACCUUUAAAAAUGUUAAGAUGACUGCAUCUUACUACAAAAAAGUAAGUCAAUCCCAUUAUAAUUGAAGAAAACUCGUUCACAUGGAUUUUUAAACUUUCAAUACGAAAAAGUCCCUGACUGUGUGAAGGUUGCUGUGGGUGUAUAUAACUUUGUAGCAAAGGAGAAACUUGUUAGACUAUAAUUAAUUGACAAGUGUAGGAGGAAUUUGUCUCAGUCGAUCAUUAUUCUAUUUUUCACAAUUAUAUUUAAUUGCCAUUGUAUUGUAAUGUCAAUGUUAGUCGAUGUCAAAUCUGAAAACUAUAUUCUAUCCCCAUCCAUCCCUUGGCCAAAAAAUGCAGCCACGCAUGUUUGUUGGUUACUGAUACCGAGGAAGGACAGUCUUCCAGAGGAAAUUAUCGAGCACUGUAUUUUAUCAGAUUUAAAAGGAAAGGAGGGCCAGAGGAUACUAGUGAAAAAUUGGGGAAUAGGAAACUGAAAAAGAAGUCACUGGUUUAAUUUUCUAACCAGUAAUCAGCGAGUUAUUCUGAGUGAAAACCAAAGUCUCUCAUUUCCAGGGACCACACUCAGCAGCAUCCAAGGAGUUCACGAGAAGCAAUAGUGACUCCUUCAUACAUGUGGAGAUACUUAAGUGCUCUGAGAGGGCCCUGGAGCUACUUUGCCAGGAUUCUGAAAUCCAGGUAAGGAGUCUCAGACCAAGGGAGAAGACGUGAUUUGCCCAAGAUUGCCCAAAUAGUUGGAAUUAGAAACCAGCUCUUUUGAUCCAAGUCUGACAUAUUAGUGAUGACUCUCUGAAUGAAUCAGCUUCCAUCUUUGGUGGCCUCAGUUCCUCCUAGUGGUGGCAGGCUUUAUCCAUGCUGCUGGUAAAGAUGUUCUUAAGUAGCCACAGAAUCACAUGUUCCUCGCUUACUGACUUAAUGGAAAACAUGAAAUGAAACUCAUUCCUGUCAUUUGAACAUCAGUCAGGAUGCUGAUUGCCUCUGCUUGGAUCACAUGGGCACCACCAUGAAAGUCACCAAUGCCCAAAAUGUGAGGGAUCAUGAUUGGCCAGACAUGCCUCACAUGUCCACUCUCUUUGGCCAGAGAAACCCAUCUGCUACUAAGGGCGAUGUUGGGAGAAUGUACUGGACAGACAAAAACGAUGGCGUCCUAGCUCACUGCAUUAGAAAAAAUUUUUAGAAGAUUUAAAAGGACUCAAGUAAAUAAAAGAAAACAGAUAUUGUUGAAACCUAAUUUUACACUUUUGGAAUAUUGAAAAAAAGUUGGAGAUAUUGAUUAAGCUAUUGUUUGCUCUAUUAGGUCUUAUUGCAAAUAAUGAAUAAUUGUUAUCAGCAUAGUUCACUCUCCUUUUUCCAUAAACCUCCCUCAUGACCCCCAUGAUCCAAACCUAUCCACUAAUAAUUAGCAAAGCUCACCUUUACAUUCUCUCUUUAUCCCUAUUAUUUUCAACUGUAAAACUCCAGGUAUGCAUCAGAGAAAAUUCUUAUUAAAAAAACAUUUAGGGGUUCUUAUUGUUCAUAUUCUUCCAAUUCUUUGAUAUUGCUUAUGCUUAUUACAUUAUACUAAUGAGUUAAUGAAGAAUGAGUAAUUUGCUUAGA